GCUUAUUUAUUUGAAUGGAGGGUGUCUGAGAAGUCUGUUAAUGAAUCUGAAAUAGUAGGCAAGUCUUAUCUUUUUUUUUUAUUCUGGAUUAUAAGUGUCCAGGACAACAACGUGAGCUGCUGAAAUGUCAAACAGGUGAAUGACUCAAAAUGGGGAAUAAACGCACAGCUUUCAUUUCAAUGGAGUCGGGAAUGAUGCAUUAAAGAAAAACAGCAAAGGUUUGAACAGCAAAGAAGGAGUUAAAUCUACUGACGCAAACAGCAUCAUUUAGGCGAAAGGCUCGCGCUGUUUGACCCGGGCGCGUGUCUGAUGCUUUGAUUGAGGUCUGAUGCCCGCGUCCCGCAUCUUUCUGCGCUCGCAGCCGCCCAUCGGUUCUGGAUGAGAGCGAUUAAAGUUGCCCUUCAGGCGGCAUUACAUCACCUCCCGCCCGGACCGGAACGAUACGGUUAAUUAUUUACUCAGUGUGCACGCUUUUAAAAAUGCCUGACACAACAAAUGUCCGGUUUUAACGGCUUUCGCUGACAGGAUAAAGAGAAGAAAAGGUGGCUGGCGUGACUGGCUGGCACCCAUUGUGUCGGGGAUGUGAAGCGGCGCGAGAUGCCAUGGCAGCGGCGGAUGCAGCAGCAGCUAACGGGCCGGAGCCGCCCGGUCUCCCGGUACCCAAGGCGUUUCCCUACGAGGAAUACGAGUGCAAAAUCUGCUACAACUUUUUCGACCUCGACCGUCGGGCGCCUAAGAUCUUGGAGUGUCUGCACACGUUUUGCGAGGAGUGUCUGCACGCGCUGCAGCUGUGCGAGGAGGGGCCGUGGCGCAUCAGCUGCCCCGUGUGCCGCCACCGCACGCCCGUACCGGACAACCGGAUCCAGAACCUGCCGAACAACACUAAGGUCACGGAAGACUUCCCUGUGUACAUCGACUCAAACCCCGUGCCUCAGGAUGCUCUUCCGUCCCACCGGCCUCCGCUGCAUCCGGCGCUCGUGGCGCUCCGGCGCGAGGAGGACGCGUCUGUGGCGUCCAUGGCUGGGCACGCGACGCCGUCCACUACGACGGUGUCCACCGCGACCACGCUGUCCCAGGAGUCGGUCUCGCGUUACGAGAGCUGCCAAAACUGUUGCUGUCUCGCGCUGACCACCGGAUGCGUGUGCGUCAUUUUCUCUUUACUGUCUAUGCUAGUGCUGCUCUUCAUGGGCCUCAUUUUCUUAUUCAGCCACGGCGAGCCGCUCUCGUCCGCGGGACCCCUCUGUCUGUCGGUGGCCAGCAUCCUCGCCAUGGUGUCUGCGGUGGUAACGUGGCUCCUCUACUGGCUCAAAGACCGAACGGAGCACGAGACGGGCCGCUCCUCGGCCACCACUAGCGCGAGCCGGAGAAACGCGUGACAGAAGAUCAGAAGCGUAUGACAAGCCCUUUCAGUAGGCUAUUUAUUUCUUAGUACCGUUAUACAAGGAGAAGCCAUGGCACAUCAGAUAUCCCCAUAUGCCUCACGUACCAGACUACCGGGUACAGAACCUGCCCUACGGCAUCCGCAGCAACCGGAUACAUGUGCGCCAUCUUCUCCUGUCUGUCCAGUCUUGUGUUUCUCUUCACGGCCUCAUAUUCACGCACGGCUGCCUGAGGUUUUUCUGCUAGGACACCUGCGUGAGCUUGAGAAGAACUGACUUCAUACAUCCACUCAAAAUCAUCAAAACAUCAGUUGUUUAAAGAUAGUUGCAAAAACAUUCUGGGUAAAACCCCACAGCUGCUAUUUGAUAUUCAGACUUUGGUUGUGGAGCCACUAUAGUGGGGUCCCAAAGUCCAACAAUGAGACCACAAGUGAAAAUGCAUAUAUUUUGUAUUGUUUUAUAAUUUAAUCCAACUUUAUUAUUAAUUCAUUUUAAAUUAAUGCAUUUGGCAGAUACUUUGUUCCUAAACAAUUUACAUUGCAUUUAAGCUAUACAUUUUAUUAAUUCCUCCAUUCCCUAGGAAUCCCUAGGAAUGGCAUGUGCAAAGUUUAAUUGAAAAACUGCUCAGUGUCACAAAUUUGCAUGCUGACUUAGUACUUCUUUUAUAGUUUAUGUCAUGACCUUCUUCUUCUUCUUCUUCUUAUUUUGUUUUAUCCAAAUAAUUCGGUUUAUAUCCAGGUUUAAAUAAUAAAAUGUGCUCUCAGACUUUUGGACCCCACUGUAGGCCAACAUAAUACAGUUGUUCAAAUACGUGUUUCAAAUGAGACGUGCACUUAUUUGGCAUUUAAAAUUAAUAUUCACUAAUAAAGUCUGGUGGCUAGGUAAAACACUUAUUUGACACAAUUUAUCAGAUGAUAUUCUCCAAAUUGCUGCUGGGUGUUGUUUUCCUCUCCUUUAUCAUAUUCAAAAAAGAUCUCUUUGUUCUCAUGGAUCAAUAGAUUUAUUAGGGAAACUGCACAUUUGAUACCCCCUCUGUUCUCCACUUCACCUAUGCAUCUAUCACGGUAAAACCGUGUCGUCUGUGUGUGCUUUUAAUGUGCGUAGCAUCACAAUGCAUUGACCUUUGUACUUUACCACCUCGUUCAUCAGAUGUUUGUAUCAUGCAAACCUGUGAUGAGCAGUCCCUGAUGCCCUGCAUGAUGUUAAACAAACACUAGAUACUGAACUGUGCUUGAAAACCAAGGUCAGCCUUCACUGCUUGACGAAAGCUUCCUUGUUAAUCGAAUCAAUACUGCUGAUUUCUACAUUAAGCAAUAGCAAAUCAGUCAUUUAUUAAGGGUAUUUGAUAUGAUGAUGUUUCAUGUAAAAAUUGUUGGUUGAAAUCUAUACACGCCGUAUUCAGAUCUACGUUAAAGGCAUACUCAUAUUUAAUGUUGCACAACAAAAUUUUGUGGGCGAAUUCCAGUCAUUCAAAUAGACAUAGGAAAAGUUGGCCGCUGCUUGCUAUAAAAGUGACUUUUGUGCAAGCUGUGCAUUAUAAAUCUGAGAAUGGACUAUUUUUGUCCAUGAAAUUUCACUAAUGUGUGUGCAUAGCAGGUGAAGCAAGCAGGAAUCUGACACCUGAGGAGCAGCUAGAGUUUUACUGUGUCCUUGCAGUGACAGGAUGCAGUCAUAGAGAAACCACUGAUAAAGACUCACACACAUGGGACCGCCGCCAAGACGUGCUUUCGAGUGUUUACUGACCCACUUAUGAUAUUCUGCAUCUCUCCUAUAGGCCAUUUGUCUUGGUGUCACAAACUGAAAUAUUCAUCCAGCUAACUAUAGCUUGUUAACCUGAGUGCAAAACACAUUCUAACUAACCCGCUUUGGCAUUAUACUGAAUAUAACGUCUAGCUGUUUGUUUAGAGUUAAUGGUUUGAUGACGACGAUUAAAGGAAACUUUAUGGCCUAAAUUUCCUUCCACUAGGGUAAAGGUGAUUUCUUUAGAAUGGUAAACAUACUUGAUCAUUCUCUUAAAGGGAUAGUUCAUCACCCUCAUGCUAUUCCUGAAUCCACUUGUUUAAUCUGUGGAACUCAAAAGGAGAAAUAUUAAAAACCUCAUGCUCUAAAUAGGACAAGAGUAAACAUGAGGGUGUUUAAAUCAUUUUCAAUCACUACUUCUUUAAAUGAGCUCUUACGUGCCUUUACUUUUUAUUUAUUGGUUUAUUUAUUAAAGGAAUGGAAUUUUUGAAUAGGAAUUAACAAGUGAAGUUUAUAUAAGCUUACUAUUUGAUAAGUUGUAGGCAGAUGUGAUGGAUCAAUCCAGGUCUGCCCUCUUCUGGUGGACUUCUAGUGAUGCAGUCAGUUGUGUGUAGUCAUGGUUUUGAUUAGGUUUUUGUAAGGAAGGUUUUACAAAGUGAAUUAUUGCAGCAGUGAUUUAUACACGCUAAGGUUAUUUUCAUGAGUGUUAGGGAUGUAAACAGUAAACAGUGUCUGCGGCUAUCGUGCUGUACAAAGCCACAUUUGUAAAGAAAGUAGUGUAAUGUGCAUUGCAACAGUGUUUUAGUCACCAGCUUCACAGCUCCUCCUGCAAUUCUGCUGAGGAAAAUAUGUCAUAAUAGUUUAUACCGUGACCUCAGUUUACUGCCUUUUUGAUCCCCGCUGAAAAGACCAACAACAAGAUUUGGGGUCAGUAAGAUUUUUGUUUGUUUUUAAAAGAAAGAACGCAUUAUAUCAAUCAAAAGUUACAGGAAAGACAUUUAAAAAGUCACAAAAGAUGUCUGUUAUAAAGUAAAUUAUUCAGAAGUUUCUAUUCAUCAAAGAAUCCUGAAAAAUCAUGGAUUUCACAAAAAUAAGCAGCAACAAAUUUGAUCACAAACAAAAAUGUUUCUCGAGUAGCAAAUCAGCACAUUAUGAUUUCUGAAGAUCAUGUGACACUGAAG